UACGAAGGACCCAAGCGUUAUCCGGAUUUAUUGGGUUUAAAGGGUGCGUAGGCGGGUUGUUAAGUCAGUGGUGAAAGCUCCGAGCCUAACUCGGAAACUGCCAUUGAUACUGACGAUCUUGAGUACAUUUGAGGUGGGCGGAAUGUGUCAUGUAGCGGUGAAAUGCUUAGAUAUGACACAGAACACCGAUUGCGAAGGCAGCUCACUAAACUGUAACUGACGCUGAGGCACGAAAGCGUGGGGAGCAAACAGGAUUAGAUACCCUGGUAGUCCACGCCCUAAACGAUGAUCACUCGAUGUGUGCGAUACACUGUACGCGUCCGAGCGAAAGCAUUAAGUGAUCCACCUGGGGAGUACGGCCGCAAGGCUGAA
rnacentral:rRNA from 1 species